rnacentral:rRNA from 1 species
UACUGUAUCGCAGUCGGCUUUGUGUGUCGGCGACGGAUCUUUCAAAUGUCUGCCCUAUCAAUUUGUUGGUAGGUGAUUUGCCUACCAUGAUGAUAACGGGUAACGGGGAAUCAGGGUUCGAUUCCGGAGAGGGAGCCUGAGAAAUGGCUACCACAUCCAAGGACGGCAGCAGGCGCGAAAAUUACCCACUCCCAGCACGGGGAGGUAGUGACGAAAAAUACGGAUACGGGACUCAAUUGAGGCUCCGUAAUUCGAAUGAGUACAAUUUAAAUCCUUUAACGAGGACCAAUUGGAGGGCAAGUCUGGUGCCAGCAGCCGCGGUAACUCCAGCUCCAAAAGCGUAUAUUAAAGUUGCUGCAGUUAAAAAGCUCGUAGUUGGAUCUGGGUAGUGCGAUCGCAUGCUGUUGCUUGUUCACGGUCUUGGUUACGAUCAGGGCAGUGGUCAGCUCGGCGUAGUGAUUGUGCAACCUUUCAGCCGUGUCUGUGUUUUAUUAAACAGGUGUCGAUGGGUUAAUGAGUAUUGUAUCUUAUUGACCUGUUGGCAUGCUUUCGGAUGCCUUUAAACGGGUGUCGGGGGCGGACGGCAUCUUUACUUUGAACAAAUUUGAGUGCUCAAAGCAGGCCUAUGCGCCUGAAAAUUCUUGCAUGGAAUAAUGAAAUAGGACUUCGGUUCUAUUUUGUUGGUUUUCGGAUCCGAAGUAAUGGUUAAGAGGGACAGACGGGGGCAUUUGUAUGGCGGUGUUAGAGGUGAAAUUCUGGGAUCGCCGCCAGACAAACUACAGCGAAAGCAUUUGCCAAGAAUGUUUUCAUUGAUCAGGAGCGAAAGUCAGAGUUUCGAAGACGAUCAGAUACCGUCGUAGUUCUGACCAUAAACGAUGCCAACUGACGAUCCGCGUUGGUUCUAUAAUUGACAUCGCGGGCAGUCCCCGGGAAACCUUUAAGUCUUUGGGCUCCGGGGGGAGUAUGGUUGCAAAGCUGAAACUUAAAGGAAUUGACGGAAGGGCACCACCAGGAGUGGAGCCUGCGGUUUAAUUCGACUCAACACGGGAAAACUCACCCGGCCCGGACACUGUGAGGAUUGACAGAUUGAAAGCUCUUUCUUGAUUCGGUGGUUGGUGGUGCAUGGCCGUUCUUAGUUGGUGGAGCGAUUUGUCUGGUUAAUUCCGAUAACGAACGAGACUUUAACCUACUAAA